rnacentral:rRNA from 1 species
GAAUUCGAUUCAGGCCUAACACAUGCAAGUCGAACGGCAGCGCGGGGCAACCUGGCGGCGAAAAAAAAACGGGUGAGUAAAGCAUCGGAACGUAUCCGGGAGUGGGGGAUAACGUAGCGAAAGUUACGCUAAUACCGCAUAUUCUCUGAGGAGGAAAGAGGGGGCUCGCAAGACCUCUUGCUUUCGGAGCGGCCGAUGUCGGAUUAGCUAGUUGGUGGGGUAAAGGCCUACCAAGGCGACGAUCCGUAGCGGGUCUGAGAGGAAAAUCCGCCACACUGGGUCUGGGGCACGGCCCAGACUCCUACGGGAGGCAGCAGUGGGGAAUUUUG